UCGGAUUGGGAAGUGGUAGCUGCUACUAGUAACCAUGAAGACAUGGCUGCUCCGGUUGCUACAUCUUGUGCUCCUGCUCCUCCCUCCUCCCCUCCGCGACAACUUCAUGGCGAGCCAACGGCCAAGUGGCGACGGCCUCGAAGUCCACCACCCGAUAGUCAUGACCGCCGGUUUUAGCUGCCCCGACCUGGAGGCCCGGCUGACGGAGGCCUACACGCCGUCGCUGCCGCGCUGCGGCGCGCUCAAGGGGAAGGGCUGGUUCCCGAUAUACCACAACACCUGGGACCUGGUCGACCACGACUACGUGCCGUGCUUCAAGGAGCAGGCGAGCCUCGUGUACGACCCCGCUCUCAACGACUACCGGAACUUGCCCGGCGUCGAGACGCGCGUGCCCAACUUCGGCUCCGCCUACGGAUUCAAUGAGAAAAAGAUUGUCCCCGACCGUGAGAAGCUCUGCUUGGUGAGCCUUCGCAAGGAAAUAGAGGCGCUGGGAUAUCGCGACGGGGACACCUUUUCGGAGCUCCGUACGACAUAGGCACGCACCGCCGCCGCCUGGCCAGCCAUCCGAGGUGUACUCCGACUACUUCGCUCGUGUCAAGGAGCUGGUGCAGCACGCGAGCGAGAAGAACCAGAACAAGCCGGUCAUCCUCAUCGGCCACAGCUUCGGCGCCAGGGUCGUUCUCGACUUCGUCAAUUCAACCCCGUUGCCAUGGAGGGAGAAGUACAUCAAGCACCUGUUCCUCAUCUCGCCUGCAGUCCCCACGGGCUUCACGAUGGCCCUCACCCACCUCACCGCCGGCCCGUCUGUCUUCCCAGUCGCUACGGUUCCGUUCAUGGAGUUGCGGGCAUUGUGGAGAACUUUUGCCAGUUCUCUUUUGGCCAUGCCGUCUCCCGUGGCCUUCGGGGACAAGCCCAUCAUAAUAACCCAACGCAAGAACUACUCCGCGUAUGACAUCGAGGAUUUUCUUCUGGCCCUCGGUUUCAGCGCCGAAGAAACCGUGCCCUUUGUGAAGCGGGUGCUUCCGACGAUGCUGAACGUGGAGGCGCCAUUGGUGCCAACGACGCACAUCAUCGGUACGGGGAUCCAAACAUCGGAGCAGCUGGUGUUCUGGGAAGGUAACUUUGACGUGGCUCCAGAGAACGUGUACGGCGAUGGAGACGGGUCCAUUAAUUUGGUCAGCCUAUUAGCAUUUGAGAAGGAGCUGCGUAGGCAGCAAAAUCAGAAUAAUGCGCCCUACAAGUUCGUCGCCAUUGCUAAUGCUACGCACUCCGGUAUUGUCAUGCAGGAACAUUUGCUCAGGAGGGUUAUGAAUGAAAUUCUCGAAGCAAAUCGCUGAAGAACAUAAGGACAUGUACCUUAAGAUAAAUAUUGAGAUGGAGAAAAAACUUCCCUUUUCUUAAUUACGAGAUGCCCUCUUAGCACAAUAUCUCUUC